rnacentral:tmRNA from 1 species
GGGGGCGAUAGGCUUCGACGGGAACUAGUGGGUCAGGGCUGCAUGUCGAGGUCCUCGGGUCCUCGUAAAACACCUGGGGAAACAUUCAAUUGCCAACGAAGACUUGGCUCUCGCUGCAUAAUUAAGUAGCGACGUCCCUCAUUCGAUGUCUGUGCGAGUGAUCAGGAUGGCAUAAAGCAGGCUAGCCUGACUUUUGGGCUCCAGGGGAGAAGGGCGAAACCAUACUGGGCUAGCAACCGUUCUAAGCCGCGCUGCGGGGCGUGAACGGAAGCGAAAUUCAAUACUGCGGCUACACAUGUAGAUGUUCUGUGCUGACGGUUUUCGGACGCGGGUUCGAUUCCCGCCGCCUCCACCA